UGGAAUCAAAACGAAAAAUCGAGGAAUCUGUCAGCGUGUCCUUCACGGUCGUUUGGCAAGUGAAAGAAAGUUUGCUGUUGCUGUCCGUCUUAAUACAGCACUUCAGUUAACGCGCAACCGAGUGUUCUGCAACAUCUCGUACUCUUGGAAGUUGUACUGAUUUUAACGAAAUAACAUUCUUAUUUUUGGAUCACAAUCUUUGUAAGUGACACAUACGGAAGAUGCGCGGUAUAAGUGCGGCGAUACUGAUGACAGCGAUGUUAGCCGUGACGUUAAGCCUAGGCGAGGCGCUGACCUGCUACGUCUCGAGCUGUGAUUUUCGAGGACGAUGUCAAGAUCGAGUGACAUCUUGUGCGGGUUCCUGCGCCGUCAAGUUCGAGGUGGACGAUGAUGGUAUUAAAAGCGUGUUCGUUUUUCGGUUAAACUUGAUUCUUGAUUCUCCGUUCGCUAAGUUGGUCUGUUAUUAGAUUGGAUUAGUAUGUUUUCAUUGGUUUAAUGUGGUGUUCGUUGUGCCUUAUCCUUAUGGGAAGCUGU